AUAUAAACAAAGAAUUAAGAAGGAGGUCAAAGAGAUUAUGAUGAUGGGUUCAAUAAUCCCUUAACUCUCUACAAAGAUAGAGAGAGGAGAAAAUUGGCUGCAUUCCUAAUUUAGGAAUACACUUGGGGAGUACACAUGAAACUAUUAUUACUUCAUCACUUUUUUAUAAUUCCAAUAAAAUACCCAUGAAUUACAAGCCCUGGGUUUGGAAUAUAUGAAGGAUGAAUUGUCUAAGUGUUUUGUUCAAUUAUUUAGAAGAAUGAGUAGGGUACAUUCAUCAAACCCAUAUUUAUUAAGUCCUUCUCUGUCCUAGGUUCUUUUCUAGGUAACUAGAAGAGAAAAAAGAACAAAACAAAGGAUCUGUAUUUCGGUCUUUAUAUUCUAGCAGAAGGGGAGAAAAUAAACAAUGAACAUAAUAAGUAUGUUUUAUACAUACUAGAAGAUGAUGACCAGAGUUCACCUUAAUUACUCCCUUCUUGUCAGAUACUAUUAUUGGUUUUGGUAUUUGAGAAACCAACUGGAACAUUGAUGCUAAACUCCUUCAUCUCAAGGCAGUCACAAAACCAUUGCAACUGGGCCUAGAGCGUGCUGGAAGAUGUUCUGGCAGUACACAGAAAUCCCUUACUAACUUUGAGGUCUCACUUUACAAUUAAGCCUCUCCUUCUCUCCCUUCUUCUAGACCUUUAGAAUUCUGCCAAAUCCCACAGACCCACUGUCUCUGCCAUCUGCACUACUGGUAGCUCAGUGGUGGUUAAUGGAGGAAAAUGAUGAAGAGGAGAUGGAAUGACUUGCUCUUAUCUAUCAUCAAGGGUGGAUUUAGAGACUUUGCUGGUCUGAAAAGAAAGUCUGAAAUCUUGAAAAAUGGGGUAAAGUCCAAAUAAUAGGAGAUUACCAAUGAAGUCUCUAAAGAAACAGCUUGCCUUAGGCAGAAUAAACAUAUUAGUAAUAGCAGCUUCCUAUGGUCAUGAGGUGUCGUUCAUGACUGCUUCUCACAAAGCUUUGUUGGUGGGAGAAGGGUGAGCACAUUCAGCUGGAGCUGUCACUCACGUGGAUUGUGUCCUGCCAGGGCUGGUCAAAAGGUAUGGUUUGCUUUUGCAGUUAGGCAAGUAUUCUUUAUAUAUAUAUUUUUUUAAAUUUUAUUUAUUUAUUCAUUUAUUUUUUGACAGGCAGAGUGGACAGUGAGAGAGAGAGAGAGAGACAGAGAGAAAGGUCUUCCUUUGCCGUUGGUUCACCCCCCAAUGGCCACUGUGGCCGGCACACCGCGCUGAUCUGAAGCCAGGAGCCAGGUGUCUCCUCCUGGUCUCCCAUGCAGGUGCAGGGCCCAACCACUUGGGCCAUCCUCCACUGCACUCCCGGGCCACAGCAGAGAGCUAGACAGGAAGAGGAGCAACCGGGACAGAAUCCAGCGCCCUGACCGGGACUAGAACCCGGUGUGCUGGCGCCGCAGGCAGAGGAUUAGCCUGGUGAGCUGUGGUGCCGGCCAAGUAUUCUUUCCCAUUAAUUUUCUCCUUACUUUGCUCUGUCUUUUUUAUUUUUCUACCACUGUAGUGCUAACGUCUAGAAUGUGUAUUAUAAUUCACUAUCUAUCUACUUUAGAGUAAGAAACCUGAGGCACUGGUAAAGUCCCAUGUUCUUGAAACCAAUCUUACAUAUUCUGAAUUGGUUUUUAUGAGCUUGAAGUGGUAGAAAAUGUAUUUUACAAGGCAUUCCGCACCCCUUCCACAGCCAGAAAACCUGAUUUACAAUUGAGUAUGAGAAACAUUGACUUUAAGAGAGAAGAAUUAAGCAGCUAUGCUACUUUUAGGCAAGAGCUUUGUGAUUUACCUUGGUCUAGUACA
ensembl:lncRNA